AACGAACGCUGGCGGCAUGCCUAACACAUGCAAGUCGAACGAGAUCUUCGGGUCUAGUGGCGCACGGGUGCGUAACGCGUGGGAAUCUGCCCUUUGGUUCGGAAUAACAGUUGGAAACGACUGCUAAUACCGGAUGAUGACGAAAGUCCAAAGAUUUAUCGCCAGAGGAUGAGCCCGCGUAGGAUUAGCUAGUUGGUGUGGUAAAGGCGCACCAAGGCGACGAUCCUUAGCUGGUCUGAGAGGAUGAUCAGCCACACUGGGACUGGGACACGGCCCAGACUCCUACGGGAGGCAGCAGUGGGGAAUAUUGGACAAUGGGCGAAAGGCUGAUCCAGCAAUGCCGCGUGAGUGAUGAAGGCCUUAGGGUUGUAAAGCUCUUUUACCCGGGAUGAUAAUGACAGUACCGGGAGAAUAAGCUCCGGCUAACUCCGUACCAGCCGCCGCAGUAA
rnacentral:rRNA from 1 species